rnacentral:rRNA from 1 species
ACGAACGCUGGCGGCUGCUUAACACAUGCAAGUCGAACGGAGUGGCGAACGGGUGAGUAACGCGUGAGCAACCUGCCUAUGACAGUGGGAUAGCCUCGGGAAACCGGGAUUAAUACCGCAUAGUCAUAGAUGGGCUCGAGUCUGAUUAGCUAGUUGGUGAGAUAACAGCCCACCAAGGCGACGAUCAGUAGCCGGGAUGGGAGGAAGAACGGCACCAUUGGAGCUGGGACACGGUCCAAACUCCUACGGGAGGCAGCAGUGGGGAAUAAUGCACAAUGGGGGAAACCCUGAGGCAGCGACGCCGCGUGAACGAAGAAGGUAUUCGUAUCGUGAAGUUCUGUCCUAUGGGAAGCAGUACCAUAGAAGAAAGCUCCGGCUAAAUACGUGCCAGCAGCCGCGGUAAUAC